rnacentral:rRNA from 1 species
GACGGACGCUGGCGGCGUGCCUAAUACAUGCCAGUAGAACGCUGAAGGAGGAGCUUGCUCUUCUGGAUGAGUUGCGAACGGGUGAGUAACGCGUAGGUAACCUGCCUGGUAGCGGGGGAUAACUAUUGGAAACGAUAGCUAAUACCGCAUAACAGUAGAUGUUGCAUGACAUUUACUUAAAAGGUGCAAUUGCAUCACUACCAGAUGGACCUGCGUUGUAUUAGCUAGUUGGUGGGGUAACGGCUCACCAAGGCGACGAUACAUAGCCGACCUGAGAGGGUGAUCGGCCACACUGAGACUGAGACACGGCCCAGACUCCUACGGGAGGCAGCAGUAGGGAAUCUUCGGCAAUGGACGGAAGUCUGACCGAGCAACGCCGCGUGAGUGAAGAAGGUUUUCGGAUCGUAAAGCUCUGUUGUAAGAGAAGAACGAGUGUGAGAGUGGAAAGUUCACACUGUGACGGUAUCUUACCAGAAAGGGACGGCUAACUACGUG